AAUUCGCCCUUAGAGUUUGAUCAUGGCUCAGAUUGAACGCUGGCGGCAUGCCUUACACAUGCAAGUCGAACGGUAACAGGUCUUCGGACGCUGACGAGUGGCGAACGGGUGAGUAAUACAUCGGAACGUGCCCAGUCGUGGGGGAUAACUACUCGAAAGAGUAGCUAAUACCGCAUACGAUCUGAGGAUGAAAGCGGGGGACCUUCGGGCCUCGCGCGAUUGGAGCGGCCGAUGGCAGAUUAGGUAGUUGGUGGGAUAAAAGCUUACCAAGCCGACGAUCUGUAGCUGGUCUGAGAGGACGACCAGCCACACUGGGACUGAGACACGGCCCAGACUCCUACGGGAGGCAGCAGUGGGGAAUUUUGGACAAUGGGCGAAAGCCUGAUCCAGCAAUGCCGCGUGCAGGAUGAAGGCCUUCGGGUUGUAAACUGCUUUUGUACGGAACGAAAAAGCUUCUCCUAAUACGAGAGGCCCAUGACGGUACCG
rnacentral:rRNA from 1 species